CCUACGGGCGGCUGCAGUGGGGAAUAUUGCACAAUAGGGGGAACCCUGAUGCAGCGACGCCGCGUGAGUGAAGAAGCGCCUCGGCGCGUAAAGCCCUAUCAGCAGGGAAGAAAAUGACGGUACCUGAAGAAGAAGCCCCGGCUACCUACGUGCCAGCAGCCGCGGUAAUACGUAGGGGCAAGCGUUAUCCGGAUUUACUGGGUGUAAAGGGGGCGCAGACGGCGAUGCAAGCCAGGAGUGAAAGCCCUGGGCCCAACCCCGGGACUGCUUUUGGAACUGCGUGGCUGGAGUGCAGGAGGGGCAGGCGGAAUUCCUGGUGUAGCGGUGAAAUGCGUAGAUAUCAGGAGGAACACCGGUGGCGAAGGCGGCCUGCUGGACUGCAACUGACGUUGAGGCCCGAAAGCGUGGGGAGCAAACAGGAUUAGAUACCCCAGUAGUC
rnacentral:rRNA from 1 species